rnacentral:rRNA from 1 species
AUUUAUUCAUAGGACGAAAAGACCCUGUCGAGCUUUAAAUUUUUAUUUUAAUUUUUUUCUUUUGUAGAAGAAUUGUUUUUAUUUAUUUUGUUUGUUGGGGUGACAGAAGAACAUUCAAAGCUUCUUCUAAUUGAAUUAAACUUUUUAGUUUGUUGAUCUUCUAAUGGAAAAAAAAAGAAUAGUUACCGCAGGGAUAACAGCGUAAUUUUUUUGGAAAGUUCAAAUUAAAAAAAAAGUUUGCGACCUCGAUGUUGGAUUAGAAUUCCUAAUAAGUGCAGAAGCUUAUUUGUGGAGGUCUGUUCGCCCUUUA